rnacentral:rRNA from 1 species
AGCGAACGCUGGCGGCAGGCCUAACACAUGCAAGUCGAACGAACCUUUCGGGGUUAUUGGCGGACGGGUGAGUAACACGUGGGAACGUGCCUUUAGGUUCGGAAUAACUCAGGGAAACUUGUGCUAAUACCGAAUGUGCCCUUCGGGGGAAAGAUUAAUCGCCUUUAGAGCGGCCCGCGUCUGAUUAGCUAGUUGGUUGAGGUAAUGGCUCACCAAGGCGACGAUCAGUAGCUGGUCUGAGAGGAUGAUCAGCCACAUUGGGACUGAGACACGGCCCAAACUCCUACGGGAGGCAGCAGAGGGGAAUCUUGCGCAAUGGGCGAAAGCCUGACGCAGCCAUGCCGCGUGAAUGAUGAAGGUCUUAGGAUUGUAAAAUUCUUUCACCGGGGACGAUAAUGACGGUACCCGGAGAAGAAGCCCCGGCUAACUUCGUG